CGUGCAGGCGGUUCGGUAAGUUGGGCGUGAAAUCUCCCGGCUCAACUGGGAGAGGUCGUCCAAUACUACCGGACUCGAGAGCAGUAGAGGAAGACGGAAUUCCCGGUGUAGUGGUGAAAUGCGUAGAUAUCGGGAGGAACACCAGUGGCGAAGGCGGUCUUCUGGACUGUUUCUGACGCUCAGACGCGAAAUCUAGGGUAGUAAACGGGAUUAGAGACCCCGGUAAUCCUAGCCGUAAACGAUGUGAACUUGGCGUCGGUGGCUUAAACACCAUCGGUGCCGCAGCUAACGCGAUAAGUUCACCGCCUGGGGACUACGAUCGCAAGAUUAAA
rnacentral:rRNA from 1 species